CCUACGGGUGGCUGCAGUCGAGAAUCUUCGGCAAUGGGCGCAAGCCUGACCGAGCGACGCCGCGUGUGGGAUGAAGGCCUUCGGGUUGUAAACCACUGUUAGAGGGGAUGAAAUGCAGGUGGGUUCUCCCAUCUGUUUGACAUAGCCUCAGAGGAAGGACGGGCUAAGUUCGUGCCAGCAGCCGCGGUAAGACGAACCGUCCAAACGUUAUUCGGAAUCACUGGGCUUAAAGGGUGCGUAGGCGGCGCGGCAAGUUGGGUGUGAAAUACCUCGGC
rnacentral:rRNA from 1 species